CCGCCGCGAACAGGAACCAGCCAACUUGGCCUUUCUGACUUAAAUCAACAGGUUAUGAUUCAUUCUUGUUAAAUAAUAUGUUCUGCCUUCACUCAAAAUUUAGACUGCGCCAAAUACAAGAGUUUUUUUCAUAGUCUGGAUCCACGCACCGCUCCUUUUCUUCUUCGUCUUGUUUAUCGGCGAUUAGCACGGAUCCAGUGCUUCUUCUCUACUGGCACAAAUAAAACUUUGGCGCUACUGCUCCUAAC